rnacentral:piRNA from 1 species
UGCAUCAGCAACCAUUGGCUAGUUGGAUC